CAGAAGAUAGUUUAAUGAAGAAUAUCAGCUUUGGGAGUUGAAGGUAAAGGUUUAAGUCCUUUUUUUCUGA
rnacentral:tRNA from 1 species